UACGUAGGGUGCGAGCGUUGUCCGGAAUUAUUGGGCGUAAAGAGCUCGUAGGCGGUUCGAUAAGUCGGGUGUGAAACCUCCAGGCUCAACCUGGAGACGCCACCCGAUACUGUCGUGACUAGAGUCCAGUAGGGGAGCGUGGAAUUCCUGGUGUAGCGGUGAAAUGCGCAGAUAUCAGGAGGAACACCAGCGGCGAAGGCGGCGCUCUGGGCUGGAACUGACGCUGAGGAGCGAAAGCGUGGGGAGCGAACAGG
rnacentral:rRNA from 1 species